AGGUGCGAUCAUAUCAGCACGAAUGCGCCGGAUCCCAUAUGAACUCCACAGAUAAGCGUGUUUGGCUGAGAGUAGUACUAGGAUAGGUGACCUCCUAGGAAGUCCUCGUGUUGCAGCUG
rnacentral:rRNA from 2 species